rnacentral:rRNA from 1 species
AGCGAACGUUUGCGGCGGGCCUAACACAUGCAAGUCGAACGGGCUGUUCUUCGGAGCAGUCAGUGGCGCACGGGUGCGUAACACGUAGGUAAUCAACCCUUGAGUUCGGGAUAACACUGCGAAAGAGGUGCUAAUACCGGAUGUGACGAUCGGAACUUCGGAACUGAUCGGGAAAGAUCCGCAAGGAUUGCUCGAGGACGAGCCUGCGGCCCAUCAGCUUGUUGGUGAGGUAAAAGCUCACCAAGGCUAAGACGGGUAGCUGGUCUGAGAGGAUGAUCAGCCACACUGGAACUGAGACACGGUCCAG